GCGUUGGUGGUUUAGUGGUAAAAUUCAUCGUUGCCAUAUGAAGGCCGGUUGUUAUACAUCCUUAAGUCCCGAUUUCGACCUCGAUGAGCCCCGGGUUCGAUUCCCGGCCGACGCA